AGGGGUAUAGCCAAGUGGCAAGGCAGGGGACUCUGAAUCCCCCAUCUCAGGUUCGAUUCCUGGUGCCCCCGCCA
rnacentral:tRNA from 1 species